GUCGAUACACUCUCAAUAAUAAAUGAGUAUAUUUUAUAUACUCGAGUAUAUUUUAAAUCUUUUAAAUCUCUCUUCGCUGUUCACACGACUGACUGCGCGUCCACCUUGUGUUUACUUCCUUAAUGCGGAUACACCUAUUGACCACAAGCCGGAGCUGAAGAUCACCCAUACACGAGUUCAUUAGUCACGUUUUCUUGAGUAUAAUAAUUAGACAAUGCAGUCAGAAUUAAUUAUUGUGCUUGUAAUACGACAUUAAACUAUAAAAAUAAUAAUUUUAAGUCUGUUUAAGCCUACAACGCGGACUUUAUGUUGUAACUUGUAGCGCAGUUCUCCAUCCGCCCCACUAGGGGGCGCGCACUGCUUCACGUUAUGUCUAACUCGCAGCUUUCAGGUGUUUGACACUGACAGCAUGAGGCUUGAAGAUACAACAGGUAAAACAAAUCCUGACAGCUCCGUGAUUGUAUUAUAAUAUCUAUAAACAACGCACAAACAAACUGAACAGACACGCCGCGCUGUAAAGUGCAGUAAUACAGUGACAAGAGACGCACCUUGUCCCGUUAACCAGAUGCUGAAACACAGAGAUCAUUUGAAGACAAUAACCUCAACAUCAACAGCACACUUCCAUCCAUAUGCACAUGCAUGCAGCAGACUGGAACCGCAAGCUGGUGUGAUGAGUUUCUCAUGUAAUGUAAUGUGUAUUUAUAUAGCGCAUUCAUCGUGUAUGGCCAUACACCUAAAACGCUUCACAAUCAAGAGGGAUGUGGAGGUCUCUCCACACCACCACCAGAGUGCAGCAUCCAUGAUGUGAUGAAAGCCACAGGAUAACUACGCCAGUGCUUCACCACACACCAGCUAUAGGGGGAGUACAGAGACAGUGAUAGAGCCAAUUCUGUGGAUGGGGAAGAGUGGGAGGACAUGAUGGAUAAGGGCAGAUGAAGGGAAUUUAGCCAGGACACUGGGGUUACACCCCUACUCUUUAGAAGAAGUGCCAUGGAUUUUCCGAUGACCACAAAGAGUCAGGAUUUCAGUUUAACGUCUCAUCCGAAGACAGAUGUCGCUGCAUUUAAAAGUUCAAGAUUGGUGACUGGCGAAAUCACAUUAUACGAUUGUGUGAGAGAAAUAGAAGAUCAAAACAAGACCUCUCUGUGCAGAAAUGUAAAAUAUGAAGCAGUCGCUCGCUUUAUCAUUGUCUAAUCAUCAUCUUAUAUCCUGCCCCUUUUCACAGUGCCGUAUCUCACAUGCUCAACUCUAGUGUGACUGUGGCUUUACUCAGUUCAGUUUAGUAAACUUGCCCACAACCAACGGUGCGGGUUCGAAAUUCCUGAUAUUGCAUUUGCUUAACAGGAUAUGAAGUCUUGAUGUGAAGAAUGCUGAUUGUUGAUGUCUAGAAUUCAGACCCAGAGAAUGAAUGAGUCAAAACAACUUGCUGAAAC